UCCUGGGUGGCUCAGUCGGUUGAGCAUCCGACUUCGGCUCAGGUCACGAUCUCAAGAUUUGUGGGUUCAAGCCCCACGUCGGGAU
rnacentral:tRNA from 1 species